GAGUUUGAUCCUGGCUCAGAACGAACGCUGGCGGCAGGCCUAACACAUGCAAGUCGAGCGCGCCUUUCGGGGUGAGCGGCGGACGGGUUAGUAACGCGUGGGAAUAUGCCCAAAGGUACGGAAUAGCCUCUGGAAACGGAGAGUAAUACCGUAUGUGCCCUUCGGGGGAAAGAUUUAUCGCCUUUGGAUUAGCCCGCGUUAGAUUAGGUAGUCGGUGGGGUAAUGGCCUACCAAGCCUACGAUCUAUAGCUGGUUUUAGAGGAUGAUCAGCAACACUGGGACUGAGACACGGCCCAGACUCCUACGGGAGGCAGCAGUGGGGAAUCUUGGACAAUGGGGGCAACCCUGAUCCAGCCAUGCCGCGUGAGUGAUGAAGGCCUUAGGGUCGUAAAGCUCUUUCGCCUGUGAAGAUAAUGACGGUAGCAGGUAAAGAAACCCCGGCUAACUCCGUGCCAGCAGCCGCGGUAAUACGGAGGGGGUUAGCGUUGUUCGGAAUUACUGGGCGUAAAGCGCACGUAGGCGGAUCGGAAAGUUGGGGGUGAAAUCCCGGGGCUCAACCCCGGAACUGCCUCCAAAACUAUCGGUCUAGAGUUCGAGAGAGGUGAGUGGAAUUCC
rnacentral:rRNA from 1 species